GGGGUGAAGUCGUAACAAGGUAACCGUAGGGGAACCUGCGGUUGGAUCACCUCCUUACCAAGAAG
rnacentral:rRNA from 1 species